rnacentral:rRNA from 1 species
AUACGUAGGGUGCAAGCGUUGUCCGGAAUUAUUGGGCGUAAAGCGCGCGCAGGUGGUUCCUUAAGUCUGAUGUGAAAGCCCCCGGCUCGACCGGGGAGGGUCAUUGGAAACUGGGGAACUUGAGUGCAGAAGAGGAUAGUGGAAUUCCAAGUGUAGCGGUGAAAUGCGUAGAGAUUUGGAGGAACACCAGUGGCGAAGGCGACUGUCUGGUCUGUAACUGACACUGAGGCGCGAAAGCGUGGGGAGCAAACAGGAUUAGAUACCCUGGUAGUCCACGCCGUAAACGAUGAGUGCUAAGUGUUGGGGGGUUUCCGCCCCUCAGUGCUGCAGCUAACGCAUUAAGCACUCCGCCUGGGGAGUACGGUCGCAAGACUGAAACUCAAAUGAAUUGACGGGG